GAAGCACUCUGCUGCAUGUACAGGAUGGUGUCCCCAAUUUACAAUACGAGCUAAUAAUGUGGUUCAUGGGGACAGACUGACGAACUAACGGAAAUGAAAGCGAGUCGCCCUAUAUAUUUUACAAAAUUUUUGCUUUCGGAACGAAUGGAUGCAGCACGAGCGAGUAGGUCAUAACAAUGAAAGCCCAAAGCGUCAUAUAUGUAUGCGAAUUUAUGGUAUGCAAUUUUCUGCAGAUUAAAAACCACAUUACACCGGAAUGAUUGGCUUUCAGAUUGUACUGUUAAUUCUUCUGGAUACCUUUAACUCAUCUUCAACUCAGGCAUCAGGUUUACGCACAUCGCUGCUAACGAACCGAAUAAAAGAAGGGACAAACAAAAUAGUGUUGCACCUCAAACAGAAGAAAUUGAAGAUUAUUAUCAAGCUUUGUGGGAAACUUUACAAAUGUUAUUUCCCCAAAAGAGUUGAAAACAAACCUAAAACAACAAUCGCAGCAAACACGACAGAUGUAUCAGCAACCCAAACUUCAGAAGCUGAGCCAUCAGAAACUGUUCCAACCAGAAGGGAAACAACAGCCACAACCCCAGCAGUAGAGCCUUCAGAAACUGUUCCAACAACAAGAGAAACAACAGCCACAACCCCAGCAGUAGAGCCAUCAGAAACUGUUCCCUCAGAAAGGGAAAUGACCACUUCAACAGCUACGCCAUCAGUAACUAUUCCAACUGUAAGGGAAAUGACAACCCCAGAGGCCGAGACUGGUCUAACAGAGGGAGAAGAAGAGACAACCCUAGCAUUUCAACCAUCCGAAAUCGUCUCAACGGAAAGGGCUGUGACAACCCCAGCAGUUCAGCCAUCAGAAACAGUCUCAACAGAGAGGGUAAUUACCACCCCAGCAUCCCAGUCACCACAAACUGUUCCGACAGAAAGGGAAACGACAACUCUAAACAACCAAGCAACAACUAUUAGUGAACAGACAACUGGUAUUGGCGUCGUUUCCAGCGGAGGAACAACAACUAAUGCUAAUAGCUUGACGACAGGAAAUAUUACACCAACCCCAACAGAAAUGGAAUCAACGGACGAACUUCCCGAUGAAUCCAGCACUAACACAAGUUGAUCCUUCAACAAAGAUAUCAUCCAAGAGAACGUGCGUCUAAAAAAAUCAUCAUCCCUUAUAACUUUCCUCAACCAAAUCAGCAGUGCCAAAAGCUCUGAAAUAAUUGCUAUUAACCUUAAAGAGCUGACGUAGCCAUGAACUUAUAUCCAUCAGUCUCCAGAAGAGAAAAUCUCGAAAGAAAUGCGUUAGCAAUAUUUGCAGGUCCAGCCUGUGUCUGCCAAUUUUUGUAUGUCAACCUGGACGUCAUUAUUUUUCAAGCUUGAGAAAAUGAUUUCAAGUGAAACAUGACUACUUACAAGUAGCCUCAAUUUUAUAGGUUACAAUACGGCAAUAAAAGCAACUAAUGCCAGGAUGAAAAGUUUCAAAGCGAUGCCGACAGCUAAUAACGAUUAAUAUCCCAAUUUGUAGUCCCAUUUUAAAGUAUAUGCGUUUAAUACUAUUGAUUUGUUUAUAAAUAAAAAUGGUUUUGAGUGUCA